GGAAACUAGGGGUGCUUCCAUCUGGAAGAAUCUGGAGGACAGGUGCUGCAUGGCUGUCGUCAGCUCGUGUCGUGAGAUGUUGGGUUAAGUCCCGCAACGAGCGCAACCCUUGCCUUUAGUUGCCAGCAGUUCGGCUGGGCACUCUAAAGGGACUGCCGGUGUUAAACCGGAGGAAGGUGGGGAUGACGUCAAGUCCUCAUGGCCUUUAUGACCAGGGCUACACACGUACUACAAUGGCCGAUACAAAGGGCAGCGACACUGCGAGGUGAAGCCAAUCCCGUAAAAUCGGUCUCAGUCCGGAUUGGAGUCUGCAACUCGACUCCAUGAAGUUGGAAUCGCUAGUAAUCGUGGAUCAGCAUGCCACGGUGAAUACGUUCCCGGGCCUU
rnacentral:rRNA from 1 species